rnacentral:rRNA from 1 species
UACGGGGGGGGCAAGCGUUGUUCGGAAUUACUGGGCGUAAAGGGCCAGUAGGCGGCCAACUAAGUCGGAUGUGAAAUCCCCAGGCUCAACUUGGGAACUGCAUCCGAUACUGGAUGGCUUGAAUUCGGGAGAGGGAUGCAGAAUUCCAGGUGUAGCGGUGAAAUGCGUAGAUAUCAGGAAGAACACCCGUGGCUAAGGCGGCUCUCUAGUACGGUACUGACGCUGAGACGCGAAAGCGUGGGGAGCGAACAGG